rnacentral:rRNA from 1 species
CUUGGUCAUUUAGAGGAAGUAAAAGUCGUAACAAGGUUUCCGUAGGUGAACCUGCGGAAGGAUCAUUAAAUAAUCAAUAAUCUUGGCUUGUCCAUUAUUAUCUAUUUACUGUGAACUGUAUUAUUAUUUGACAUUUGAGGGAUGUUCCAAUGUUAUAAGGAUAGACAUUGGAAAUGUUAACCGAGUCAUAAUCAGGUUUAGGCCUGGUAUCCUAUUAUUAUUUACCAAAUGAAUUCAGAAUUAAUAUUGUAACAUAGACCUAAAAAAUCUAUAAAACAACUUUUAACAACGGAUCUCUUGGUUCUCGCAUCGAUGAAGAACGUAGCAAAGUGCGAUAACUAGUGUGAAUUGCAUAUUCAGUGAAUCAUCGAGUCUUUGAACGCAACUUGCGCUCAUUGGUAUUCCAAUGAGCACGCCUGUUUCAGUAUCAAAACAAACCCUCUAUCCAACUUUUGUUGUAUAGGAUUAUUGGGGGCCUCUCGAUCUGUAUAGAUCUUGAAAUCCCUGAAAUUUACUAAGGCCUGAACUUGUUUAAAUGCCUGAACUUUUUUUUAAUAUAAAGGAAAGCUCUUGUAAUUGACUUUGAUGGGGCCUCCCAAAUAAAUCUCUUUUAAAUUUGAUCUGAAAUCAGGCGGGAUUACCCGCUGAACUUAAGCAUAUCAAUAAGCGGAGGA